AGUGGCGGACGGGUGAGUAACGCGUGGGUAACCUGCCUCACACAGGGGGAGUAACAGUUGGAACGACGCUAAUACCGCAUAACCGCUGGUAUCGCAUGAUACUGACGGAAAAGAUUUAUCGGUGUGAGAUGGACCCGCGUCUGAUUAGCCAGUUGGCAGGGUAACGGCCUACCAAAGCGACGAUCAGUAGCCGGCCUGAGAGGGUGAACGGCCACAUUGGGACUGAGACACGGCCCAAACUCCUACGGAAGGCAGCAG
rnacentral:rRNA from 1 species